rnacentral:rRNA from 1 species
GACGAACCGUGCAAACGUUAUUCGGAAUCACUGGGCAUAAAGGGCGCGUAGGCGGCUUGACAAGUCAGGGGUGAAAUCCGGCAGCUUAACUGUCGCAGUGCCUUUGAUACUGUCGAGCUCGAGGGAGGUAGGGGUCUGUGGAACUUCCGGUGGAGCGGUGAAAUGCGUAGAGAUCGGAAGGAACACCAGUGGCGAAGGCGGCUACCUGGACAGAUACUGACACUGAGGCGCGAGAGCGUGGGGAGCAAACAGG